rnacentral:lncRNA from 13 species
AACAGGGCCCCAGCUUUGCCUUCUACGUGCCCCUGGUGGUCCUCAUCUCCAUCUCCCUGGCACUGCAGAUUGGCGUAGGGGUGCUGCUCAUCUUCCUCGAGUGCCCCCAUCACCCAGGCUGGAAUGCAGUGUGGCUCAGUCUCAUCUCACGGCAACUCCAUUUCCUGGGCUUAAACCAUCCUCCCACCUGAGCCCCCAACGUAACUGGGAUUACAGGUGCUCACCACCACGCCCGGCUAAUUUUUGUAUCUUUUGCAGAGAUGAGGUUGUGCCUUGUUGCCCAGGUGAACUCCUGAGCUCAAGCGAUCCAACAGCCUUGGUCUCCCAAGAUACUGGGAUUACAGGUGUGAGUCAGCACACUCGGCCUCGUUUCGUUCUGUUUGUGUGACAGGGUCUUGCUCUGUCUUCUUGAGGCUCACUGUAGUCUCAACCUCCUAGGCUCAAGCGAGCCUUCUGCCUCAGCCUCCCAGGCAGCCUGCACCACAGCUGUGUGCCCCCAUGCCAGCUAAUACUUUUCAUUUUUGGUAGAGAUGGGGUCUUGCUAUGCUGCCCAGGCUAGUCCCAAACUCCUGGGCUCACGUGAUCCUCCCGUCUCAGCCUCCCAAAGUGCUGGAAUGACAGGUAUGAACCACACAGAGUAGAGUCAGGGCCUGGCCUGUGGGCAUUAAGGCAGGUGCUUCACCAGGUUCUUGUUGACCCAUGCCGUGAGAUGGCCUCUGCCAUGUCCAUGGGACCAGGGUCCUCCUCCUGGCUGCGUGACCUUGGGCAAGUGGCUGAACCUAUUAAACAGGCACCUGACAGACCUGCAGUUUGUGGCAGGAAUCACUAGAUUAAGGCACACAAAGAGCUCAGUGCAUUUGCCCAAGCCUGGCCUUGGGUUGACAUCCAUAGCUUCAAUUCCUAAAAAGUGCGGGGGCUACAGAAGGUGGGGUCACAGACAGUGGGGCUGCCCAAGCCGGGGGCGCUACGGUCAGUGUUUCAGCAAAACAGAUGUAUUUUUCUCUGGGGGACAAAACUCAUCCUAAAUGCCACUGAGGGCACUGUAGUGUCCCAGGACAGUCUGACCACCGGGGUGGGUCCCCUCCCACUGUCCCGGGCUGGACGCUCCAUCUGGGCUACCCUUGGCACUGUCCACUC